GUGGAUUAGAUACCCUGGUAGUCCACGCCCUAAACGAUGGGUACUAGACGUCGGGAAGCUUGUCUUCUUGGUGUCGCAGCUAACGCAAUAAGUACCCCGCCUGGGGAGUACGGUCGCAAGAUUAAAACUCAAAGGAAUUGACGGGGGCCCGCACAAGCGGUGGAGCAUGUGGUUCAAUUCGAUGCAACGCGAAAAACCUUACCUGCCCUUGACAUCUGGGGAAUCCUGCAGAGAUGCGGGAGUGCCGCAAGGAACCCCAAGACAGGUGCUGCAUGGCCGUCGACAACU
rnacentral:rRNA from 1 species